GAUGAAGAACGUAGCGAACUGCGAUAAGUAAUGUGAAUUGCAGAAUUCAGUGAAUCAUCGAGUCUUUGAACGCACAUUGCGCCCCCUGGCAUUCCGGGGGGCAUGCCUGUCCGAGCGUCAUUGCUGCCCUUCAAGCCCGGCUUGUGUGUUGGGUCGUCGUCCCCCCCGGGGGACGGGCCCGAAAGGCAGCGGCGGCACCGCGUCCGGUCCUCGAGCGUAUGGGGCUUUGUCACCCGCUCGAUUAGGGCCGGCCGGGCGCCAGCCGGCGUCUCCAACCUUCUAUUUUACCAGGUUGACCUCGGAUCAGGUAGGAAUACCCGCUGAACUUAAGCAUAUCAAUAAGCGGAGGA
rnacentral:misc_RNA from 1 species